GCCAUAGACAAAGUAUUUUAAAGGUCUGGGGACAUAGUCUUAAAGGGGCAUUGUCACACAAAGUCUCAAUAUGUCCCCAGAUGGUUCUUAAAGGGCCAGCAUGGUCCAAUACAAGUCCAUAAGCCACAAUGCAGUUCUUAAUAGGCCUGCAGCAGCAGCACAAUACAAAUCUAUUAGCCCAAAUAAUGUUUGUAAAGGGCCAUACAACCCAGGGCCAUAGUCAUGAGGCAGGAGGCUGGCAAUCAGG